UACAGAGGGUGCAAGCGUUAAUCGGAAUUACUGGGCGUAAAGCGUGCGUAGACGGUUAUUUAAGUCAGGUGUGAAAGCCCCGGGCUCAACCUGGGAAUUGCAUUCGAGACUGAAUAGCUAGGGUACGGUAGAGGGAAGCGGAAUUUCCGGUGUAGCGGUGAAAUGCGUAGAUAUCGGAAGGAACAUCAGUGGCGAAAGCGGCUUCCUGGACCAGUACCGACGUUCAGGCACGAAAGCGUGGGGAGCAAACAGG
rnacentral:rRNA from 1 species